rnacentral:misc_RNA from 1 species
GAAAUGCGAUAAGUAAUGUGAAUUGCAGAAUUCAGUGAAUCAUCGAAUCUUUGAACGCACAUUGCGCCCGCUAGUACUCUAGCGGGCAUGCCUGUUCGAGCGUCAUUUCAACCCUCAAGCCCGGCUUGGUGUUGGGGCCCUACAGCUGCCGUAGGCCCUGAAAGGAAGUGGCGGCGCCGUCCGGCUCUAAGCGUAGUACAUCUCUCGCUCUAGGGCCCGGCGGCUGCCUGCCAGAACCCCAAACUCUUAUGGUUGACCUCGGAUCAGGUAGGGGUCUUUAACGGCAGGAGCGCGCCGCGCCUCCCUAGCGAGAUAAUGAAUUACUACG